UACGUAGGUGGCAAGCGUUGUCCGGAUUUACUGGGCGUAAAGAGCACGCAGGCGGUCGUGCAAGUCGCGUGUGAAAGCCCCCGGCUCAACUGGGGAGGGUCACGCGAUACUGCUCGACUCGAAGGCAGGAGAGGGAAGUGGAAUUCCCGGUGUAGUGGUGAAAUGCGUAGAUAUCGGGAGGAACACCAGUGGCGAAGGCGACUUCCUGGCCUGUUCUUGACGCUGAGGCGCGAAAGCUAGGGUAGCAAACGGG
rnacentral:rRNA from 1 species